CUUUGUCUUUGCUGAGAAUGACAAUGUGCUGGUGAGCUGUCACAUACCAAACACAUCAGGUACCUCCCAUUAAACAACCAAGUGCUGCAAAAAAAGUCCAAAACUGGGGAAAAUAAUCCUUUCCUUGCCUUCCUGUUCUGGUGAAUAGCUUUGAUCCUCUGAUACUAGUAAGUUCUCUGCUUUUGUCUCUUCUAUUGCAUUCUUAUAUAUUCAACUAUGUAUGUACACAGACAUGCACACCCACAUGCUUUAAACCCUAUGGAUUGCCCUAACCGUGUUCCUUUUGUAUUCCAACCCUUCUACAUUUUCAGCCCUGAGAGACUCAGUUGCUUAGCUGAGGCAAUGUCAGAGCCAGCGUUUGCAAGGAGGGGAAGAGGAAGAUGCAGCAUCCCUCACUGGGAAGGAGCAAGGGGCAAGAGAGGAGCAAAAGCCCUUCCAGCAUUCAUGUUAUGUCCAGGAGUGGCACCUAACAAAGACUGCAGUGAUGAGAGAUCAACUCUAAGCUAUUUCAACAGGAAAACAAUAAAAUUCUUCACAGUAAAUGGUCUUUUACUCAUCUUAAAAUGCUUCCUACCAUCACAAAUCCCCUGCAGACAGCAGCAGUGGUCACAGUUCUGCCUUGAAGCACGUUUUAAGCACCUCAGACAAAAGGAGGAGGCUUUGUGUUUAGGUUCUGUGUGCACCAUCUGCUGAGAGAAGACACACAGACUUCCAGAAGGCUGCCAGCUGGCUGGCCAUUCCUCUCAUUUCAAAUAAACAUUCAGCAUGUUUUCAGUAAAUUCUGAAUGAUAGAAGCCUGCUUUUUCCUUUCUGCAGUUCUCACUGGAGAGGGUGAGAGGUUUUUUUUCUCUCAGCCAUGUUAUAUAUUUCCAGCAAGAUGAACUUUCACUUCAGAUUGUUACUAUCUCAUAAAAAUAGCCCACAUGGAUUAAUAUUCAUUAUUAGGGUGUUUUAUUAUGAACUGUAGACAUAAUUAGUUCUUUGAAGCAUACUAAAGAACAAGAUCAUUUAAAGAUCACUUACUGAGCCUAUACCUGAACUAUUCCGAG
rnacentral:lncRNA from 1 species